AGUCGAACGGAAGUCGUUACGAAAUGGAAUGAAGAUUUAUCUGAUUGAAGUUUUGUAACAAUGGCUUUAGUGGCGGACUGGUGAGUAACACGUAAGCAAUCUACCUAUUAGAGGGGAAUAACAAUGAGAAAUCAUUGCUAAUACCGCAUAAGCUUGUAGUACCGCAUGGUACAGCAAGAAAAGGAGCAAUCCGCUAAUAGAUGAGCUUGCGGCUGAUUAGCUAGUUGGUGUGGUAACGGCAUACCAAGGCAACGAUCAGUAGCCGGGCUGAGAGGCUCUUCGGCCACAUUGGGACUGAGAUACGGCCCAGACUCCUACGGGAGGCAGCAGUCGGGAAUUUUGCGCAAUGGAGGAAACUCUGACGCAGUGACGCCGCGUAUAGGAAGAAGGUUUUCGGAUUGUAAACUAUUUUAGUCAGGGAAGAAAAAUGACAGUACCUGAAGAAUAAGCUCCGGCUAACUACGUGCCAGCAGCCGCGGUAAUACGUAGGGAGCAAGCGUUAUCCGGAUUUAUUGGGUGUAAAGGGUGCGUAGACGGGAAGACAAGUUGGUUGUGAAAGCCCUCGGCUCAACUGAGGAACUGCAACCAAAACUAUCAUUCUUGAGUGCGGGAGAGGAAAGUGGAAUUCCUAGUGUAGCGGUGAAAUGCGUAGAUAUUAGGAGGAACACCAGUGGCGAAGGCGACUUUCUGGACCGUAACUGACGUUGAGGCACGAAAGUGUGGGGAGCAAACAGGAUUAGAUACCC
rnacentral:rRNA from 1 species